AGAUCCUACACAGUUGAUAGACGUCGUCGU
rnacentral:sRNA from 1 species